rnacentral:rRNA from 1 species
UACGGAGGGUGCAAGCGUUAAUCGGAAUUACUGGGCGUAAAGCGUGCGUAGGCGGUUCGUUAUGUCUGCUGUGAAAGCCCCGGGCUUAACCUGGGAAUGGCAGUGGAAACUGGCGGGCUUGAGUGUGGCAGAGGGGGGUGGAAUUCCGCGUGUAGCAGUGAAAUGCGUAGAGAUGUGGAGGAACACCGAUGGCGAAGGCAGCCCCCUGGGUCAAGAUUGACGCUCAUGCACGAAAGCGUGGGGAGCAAACAGG